CCUACGGGCGGCAGCAGUGGGGAAUAUUGCACAAUGGGGGAAACCCUGAUGCAGCGACGCCGCGUGAGUGAAGAAGUAUCUCGGUACGUAAAGCUCUAUCAGCAGGGAAGAAAAUGACGGUACCUGACUAAGAAGCCCCGGCUAACUACGUUCCAGCAGCCGCGGUAAUACGUAGGGGGCAGGCGUGAUCCGGAUUUACUGGGUGUAAAGGGAGCGUAGAGGGCAGCACAAGUCUGGAGUGAAAUCCCGGGGCUUAACCCCGGAACUGCUUUUGAAACUGUGCGGCUGGAGUGCAGGAGGGGUAAGCGGAAUUCGUAGUGUAGCGGUGAAAUGCGUAGAUAUUAGGAGGAACACCGGUGGCGAAGGUGGCUUACUGGACUGUAACUGACGUUGAGGCUCGAAAGCGUGGGGAGCAAACAGGAUUAGAUACCCCAGUAGUC
rnacentral:rRNA from 1 species